rnacentral:rRNA from 1 species
AUUGAACGCUGGCGGCGUGCCUAACACAUGCAAGUCGAGCGGUAACAGGUGUAGCAAUACAUGCUGACGAGCGGCGAACGGGUGAGUAAUGCUUCGGAAUCUACCCAAUGGUGGGGAAUAACCAGCCGAAAGGUUGGCUAAUACCGCAUACGUCCCACGGGAGAAAGCAGGGGAUCGCAAGACCUUGCGCCAAUGGAUGAGCCGAAGUCGGAUUAGCUAGUUGGAGGGUAACGGCCUACCAAGGCGACGAUCCGUAGCUGGUCUGAGAGGACGACCAGCCACACUGGGACUGAGACACGGCCCAGACUCCUACGGGAGGCAGCAGUGGGGAAUAUUGGACAAUGGGGGAAACCCGUAGAUCCAGCGACGCCGCCGUGUGUGAAGAAAGGCC